ACUCAGGUGCAUGCAGUGUACUUGAGUGACUAGAAAUGGUGAAGCCAGGAUCCACCCCUUCCCAGACCUCACUUAAGGGUUGGCAGUGGUGGCAAAAGAGUCUUGCUAGAGAUCCUUGCAUACCUGGGGCCUUCAGAAGUGCCUUGGGAUUUGCUGUCAGAUGCCUGUAGCUGCCUCGUGCCCCUACAUCCACAAGCAGCAGCAGCAGCAGCCGCCACCCUUUAUUUCUCUUCUUCUCUGCAUCUAUUUUGGAGCUGACCAAGAAUUUUGGACCUCUAGCUAAAUGAAAUGUUUGGCCUAUGUCGCAGAGGAGGUUGCAUUGUGUGAUUGAACGAUCUCUGUGGCCCUCGUGAAAAUUCACACCUCGAGCUGUCAGGGAUCAGAAAAAUUGAAUGUUAUUCAAGUCCUGGAACUGUUACAUGAGUUGAAUCUGUGCACUACCAAACACUACGCUCUUCCAGAGAAGAGCAGAGGAUGGCAUGAGCAUGAACUUUCUUUUCUUGGGUUUUAUAAGGAAAAAACUUAUUAACUUCUAAGAUAUUUGUCUAGAGGAAAAGAAAAUGAUUGGAAGACAAACAGCUUUGCAAGAAAUGAGGUAGUCUGCUCCGGAUUUGAUUUAGGCUUUACAUCUGGACAGCUGACAAGUUUCAGAUGAAGCUGACCUCACACAUUCCUGGCCAUAUCAAAACCAACUCUAAUUUGGAGAAACCCAGAAGAAAAAUAUCUUUCUGUACAGUACUUUUUCCCAGAUAAUUUCAUUCCCUUAUUUAACACAAUGACUUUGAAUUACAUAGGCCUCUUCCAUAACCAGUUACCACAAAAGUGUGUUCAGAGACAUGCAGUAACAGCAGAACCAGAAGAAACCCUGCAGAUAUGUUUUGAGAAAAUAUUGUCAGAACUCUUCAGGCAAAUGUUGAGCACUUGGUUAUCUGUAUGCGUUAGCUGGGCUGCCUCUUUCCUCUCUUGUUAAAGAUCUGAAUCUCUCCAUCAAUUUAAGUCAUUCUCAGACUCUUCUUAGAUGGCCAGCAAACUGAAGAGCAGCAGAUUUCCUUCCAUCUAAGAGACUAAAUGCAUGCUGUUUAGAAGAAGAAAAGAAUGAAGACUUUACUGUGAGCUGCCUGAAACCUGACCCAUUUGUUCCUUCGGUUGAGUUCUGCAUCACCUCUGCCUGAAUCAUAGAAUAACAAGGUCGGAAAUGACCUACAAGAUCAUCUAGUCCAACUAUCUCCUCAUCACCAUUGCCACCACUGGCACUAAAACACGUUUCCUGCAGGGAGGUGGCCUUCUGACUAUGGUUUUGUCUGACUUGCUUUCCAGAAAGAGUUGAAAAUUACAGCAUUGACUAUGUUAAAAUUUGUGCCACUGGUAAUAGAUGAAUAUUUUCUUCAUGGAAGUUAUUUUUUUUCUUAAUUAAAUAGAUUUCAGUGAAAAGCUGUACUUCCAAGGAAGCCUUGAACGCUGAGGGGUAUGUGUAUUUUGAAAACAUUAACUAAGGCCAAGUAUGGAUUGUUUCCUGUGUCCCUUACCCUUGAGAUAAUGGAAAAUCACUUCUGCAGCUGUAUGCCAGUAUUACUGUGAACUCUUAAUGGGGGUGGUGCUUGCUACCUUUCAGGUAGGACUUGCAGCCUGCCUCUUUCCUUGUUUGGACAUAACAGUGAUGGACCAGAUUUUUCUGGGUGCAGGGACCUGGCCUUCAGCUUGCGCCAAAGAUGCAAUGGAAGAAUGCCCUUCAGCAACAUGCAGGUCUGAGAGAUGCCAAGUGUUCACUGUAUUCUGCUGACAACCCCUGGUGCCAUUACCAAGCAAGUGCCAUGAAUGCCACCGGAAGACCUGCCUUUGUUAGACUUGUUCCUGCAAGCCAGUGUUGAGUGAUUGAAAUGCAGGAUCAAAACACUAAAAGUUCUUUACAAGCACUUCUGCUUGACCAAGAGAAAACAGAAGGAGGAAAACCCUGUUAUGAGGCUCCACAGCUGUGAGAGGUGUGUGUGAAGGGCAGAAGUGUCUUGUAGAACAAAGAAUGUUUUAGCGCCUGUGGUAGUGUUCCUGGCAAACUCACAAACCCAGGCAACAUCUUUAGGAAUUCUUGCCUGUUAAUGAUUGAAUUAGUAAGAUCUGAUCUGCAAGUCACUCCCCAGGAAGAGAAGUAGAACAUGGACACUCACUGAAUGGUUGUUUAUCUUGCCUAAGCUGAAAAAGGAGAGCUAAAAGAUGUGGAUCUGCACAGAAAAUAGAAGUCCAGAGAACAAUGAGGCCAUGCUCUGAUGAACAGCUGUAACAAAUGUGCACAAUGGAUAUGCCAGCUGAAAAAUUUUGGGAUGGUGUAAGGUGUGGUUAUAGGCAGAUCUAUUUUCCCUUGGACUGUUUGUUAACAUCAUAUGAUAAUGGUAGUUUUGUGCUGGCUUGAAUUAUGUAUGUGUUUUGUCAUAGAUUGUCUGGUGUAUAGUCUGUUCCCUUAUGGGGAUUUUUGGGUCAGUUCUCUUGGUGGUUCAGCUUCUGUUUCUCAGAUCAAUUACUGUCUCAGGAAAAAGCUUUUGUAAGCAAUGUUAGAACCAGUAAUUAUUCUCAUUUUGUCAUUGUGAAAGUAGUGUUCAUCUUUACCCUCCUCCCAAAAACUAUUGGUGAAUGCUGCCACAAAGCCACAGUGUAGAUCUUUGUCAUUGCUAAGCUUCUGACAGCCUCUGUCUGUAGAAAAAAAAUGUGUGGCUUACCACUGACUUUAUUUGGUGUUAGGCUUCAUGCGGUAUUCAGGUAUUGCAGAGAUACCAUGCUGGAUUAAAUUCCAGAUGAAGUCUUGCUGAUACUCAGACACAAAAUAAGUCCUGCAGCCUGCUGAUGGUACCCAAGAUCAUGGAACCUGUUGUGCAGAACAUGGGCUGGAGUGGUUGGGUCCAUGAAGCAGAGAUAAGUAAAGGUAUUGGAGAGGUGAGGAUGACUGCUUCAGGGAUCUUGUUAUGGUGAUACAUCUCACAUAGCCUUCAAUAUUUUCUCACCUCAUGCUGCUCCCUUUUGAUGUAUGUUUGCAAGAGCUCAGGGCACUUGUCACAGGGCCCUGAUUCAUGAUAGCCACAGAAUGAUUCAUCCUCAUGGUCUGAGAAGGUGGCUUCCAGACUGUUCUCUGUAGCUGUAGAUCAUCCACCAGUAGUCACCAAGCUUUGGCUUUAUUCCUGAAGUGAGAAAAUAAAAUCUGUUAUCUUCUCCCAAUCAGCUCUAAGUUUUAUCGAUUCACUCAAAGAGCCGUGGUUAUCUGCUUGGACACCUUUUGUAGUGGCUAGUACUUAAUGAAUGGUCUUGAGCAGUGCUGGUCCUGCAUGGAGUAUGUGUGGGGAAAAAUGAAUGCUGCUUUUCUGGAACAUGUAUGAGUUUGGUAAAGCUUUAGUGAUCCUGGACCUCUUGUGUGAGCAAGAUGG